GACGAACCGUGCGAACGUUAUUCGGAAUCACUGGGCUUAAAGCGCGUGUAGGCGGUCCGCCACGUCGGCUGCUGAAAUCCCCCGGCUCAACCGGGGAACGGGCACCGAUACGAGCGGCCUGGAGGGGGGUAGGGGGCACUGGAACUUCCGGUGGAGCGGUGAAAUGCGUUGAGAUCGGAAGGAACGCCCGUGGCGAAAGCGAGUGCCUGGACCCUUACUGACGCUGAGACGCGAAAGCCAGGGGAGCGAACGGG
rnacentral:rRNA from 1 species